ACCAGGAGCGGUGGCAUGUGCCUGUAGUCCCAGCUACUUGGGAGGCUGAGGUGGGAGAAUUGCUUGAGCCCAGGAGUUCUGGGCUGUAGUGUGCUAUGCACUAAGUGCAUAUGGGGUGUCCGCACUAAGUUCGGCAUCAGUGUGGUGACCUCCUGGGAGGGGGGACCACCAGGUUGCCUAAGGAGGGGUGAACCAGCCCAAGUUGGAAAUGGAGCAGGUCAAAACUCCCGUGAUGAUCAGUAGUGGGAUCCAGCCUGUGAAUAGCCACUGCACUCCAGCCUGGGCAACAAGAAUGAAACUCUGUCUAA
rnacentral:SRP_RNA from 1 species